rnacentral:rRNA from 1 species
CACGUAGUUAGCCGGAGCUUUCUUCACAGGUACAGUCUUUUAUCUUCCCUGUGGACAAUAGUUUACAAUCCGAAAACCUUCUUCCUAUACGCGGCGUCACUGCGUCAGAGUUUCCUCCAUUGCGCAAUAUUCCCGACUGCUGCCUCCCGUAGGAGUCUGGGCCGUAUCUCAGUCCCAAUGUGGCCGUUCAACCUCUCAGUCCGGCUACUGAUCGUUGCCUUGGUAGGCCUUUACCCCACCAACUAGCUAAUCAGACGCAAGCUCAUCUAUCAGCGGAUUGCUCCUUUCCCACUAGGUUCAUGCGAACCCUAUGGCAUAUGCGGUAUUAGCAGUGAUUUCUCACUGUUAUUCCCCUCUGAUAGGCAGAUUUCUUACGUGUUACUCACCAGUCCGCCACUAACCGCUUCUCUUGCAAGCAAGAGAUUAAGUUCGUUCGACUUGCAUGUCUUAUGUGCGCCGCCAGCGUUUUAUCCUGAGCCAGGAUCAAA